rfam:Ailuropoda melanoleuca scaffold256_46, whole genome shotgun sequence.
GCCUGGCUGGCUCAGUCUGCAGAGCAUGUGACUCUUGAUCUCAGGGUUGUGAGUUCAAGCCCUACAUCGGGCA